AUUGUGUAGCAGACUGCCAUUCGAAUGUGUGUUUUAUAACAGUGUCUUAUUAUAUAGCGUAGAUUAGGCACUCGUUCAUCCCUUCUCCUUUAUUUCUUCACUUUCAAGCGUGACUGAAGUUGGAACGAGAUCAUUUGGCUGCUCAAUGGGAUUAGAGAUGGGCAAUAUUUUACAUUAAUUUUCGUUUAUAAUUCAAAUUGUUUAAAAAGCUAUUUUUAUCUAGCUAAGAAUUAGAUUGUCCCCCAUUUGAAGACCUUAGUAUUUAGUUACAGUGUAUGAAUAUGUUAGAGAUUAAGUUUCAAUCACUUGUUAGCUGCAACUAGUCUUUAUUUAAAUUAAAAAAAAAAACACUUUGCGUUGCCUUGAGCAGCCAGUCGAUUCUCUUCCAGCGAUAACAAAUGUUCCCAUGGUGUUCGUUGCAUCGGUCUGACGGCAAGGUUCACUUAACAUCACUUUUCUCCCAAAUUCCCAUCAACUCUGCAGAUUAGGCGAAGAUAUCGAGACUACAGCAGAAGAUCGAGAUAGUCGUGGCUCCCUAUAUUUAGCAAGACUACUCAUUCGUCGACGAAAUCACAGAUUCUUUUUUAUAUGAAACAAUUACACGUAAAGACUUACGAACAUGUAAUUUAGAAUUGCACUGAGAACUGUUUCGGGACUAUGUGUUUAUUUUGUCGAAAAUAAUCAGCAUCCUUAGGAGGAAAUUUUUGUUAAUAUAUUUUUUAAGAAACAGAGGAGUUUUACACAUUAAAUUUAGUUCACUUAUUUUUCUUUGUAUCUCAUGAGAAUUGUUCACUUCAGUUUUGGUUAUUUGAGAAUCAUCAAGCCAAAGAAUCGCACCGUUAUUAUUAAUUUUCGCAUAUGUAAACCUUCCCUUUGUUGGAAAAUACUUUCGAUAAACAGCACUCAUAAAGCCAGACCAGUCACGUUCAUAAAUUACAUUUUCGUGAGCCUCGUGGAUGAUUCGAUCAUCGACUCGGUAGUCUUGCUAACCGGGAGCGAUCAGAAGCGUUCGAAAGAGCGAAGUUCAGGCGAAGUCGAGGGUUCGCGGCGAUAGGGCGAACUAUUGUAUAGUCUUUGGUCGAGAGAAUCCCCCAUCGAGGAAUAGAUCGCUUGCAAGAGACGCGAAUUAUUUUUUUUCCGAGCGAUUCGUUGUCGUUUACGCUGGCGCAUUCGAAAGAGGCGUCGUAUCGGAAAUCGAGGAAGCUCGUCGAGAGAUUUCCAAUUAAAAUUAAUUGCCCUUCCCGUGGGCAUCCGGAAGUUUCAUCGACGAUCGUGCGUCAUACGCAGGUCGACGAAAAACGCGAUUCCCAAUUGGACCGCCGAUUAUCGGAAUCCGAUCAAUCCAAGCGUGUUGUGUAAACGGAAAUAACACGUGGGCUGCGGAGAAUUUCGAAGGGAUCUCAAUCAGCUUGAUCGCUAGGGAUUAUGAAAACUGGCCGGGUGGUAUGGGUCAGUCGAUGGAGAACGAUUCCACUCCGAUUUUCUUCAAACAAUUUCACCUGCUAUUUGUUUAGACUAGAUGGAAAGAAGUUCGUAUUUCUUCUGUCGUAGAAUCAAAGUGAAACCUCCUAUUCAUAAUGAACUACUUUGGUUAUAUUUUGUAGCCCUCGCUAUUAUUAUUGCAAGCAUUUUUAUUUCAAUUAUCAAUACCUAAAGCACGGUAAAGAACGUUUUUACAUAAAAGAAACAAUGAGGCAAACUCCAACCAGAGGAGUCUUGAAUAAUAAGAGUUGUUGGGUUAAUAUUUGAUCGAAUAUUUGAGCGAAUACGAAAUUUUAGAAAUAUAUGGGACAUCACCGACUCGACGAGCUUGUUGAUCGAUUUCCAAUCACGUGGAUCGUUGUUCGAACGCAAAGUUUGAAGGUGAUUGAAAGUAGACGCGGCGAAGGUACCAGCCGCGGACAGAAAUGCGCGAAAGUGCACAGACGCUCGAGAAAUGAGCAGAAGGAAUCAAGCGCGGACAGUCGAGGAGACACGAAGGCUGGAAACAGCAACAGUUGCGUCCAACGAUUAGCACAAACACUGAUAAUAUAGUCUGUGGAACUAACAUAGCAGGCCUGGUUACUAUUACUAAAUUCAAUUUAAAAAUUGCUAAGUUUGACACUCUUGCUUCUAACGUUAUCAGUGCUAUUAAAAAAUACGUUUUUGUGUAUUGAAACAGUAGAGAAUAACUGAAGAGGACUAAACGAGUCGUGUACAGAUCGAGAAGCCAACCGAAGGCACAUGUGCCACGAGUUAUGCGUAAACGAACGUUCGCCAAGGUUCGAGCACAUGUGUCCUCAACUGUUUUGACUCAUUAGUCUGUAUUUGACUAACGAUUAUCGAUAUAAUUAUUCUUGAACAUAUCCUCUCGUAUAAACUCAGUAUAAUCUCUGUUUCAAUCAUGUAGCAAUACGUGGCUUCCAUAUAUUAUUACUUUUCCAAUUUGUUAUUUAAUUAAGCAAAAGUAUGAUGAGUCAUAAAAGCCCCCAAAUGUAUAUACCUAAUAUUUUCUUUGCGUUGAAUCUCUCCCCUCAAUAAGAAUAAUAUUAUUUAAUUAAAAGAACUCUAUAUUUGUUCCAUAACGCACUAUAUAUCCGUGUGAUCGAUCCUCUUGGACAAAGAUUUUCAUUUUAAAACAAGGUUUAGCGAUCCAAGGGGACUUUUACGGAAUAAUCAAUCGACGCAACGUUUCUGUUGCUGUUUCAGCGAACGGAGAAUCAUGGCUCUGACCAAUUGGACAGCUCCGACGUAAACAUUUCGAGCAAGAAGUUAUGUCGACAGGUAAGCGAGCACGAUGAACGGCCGCUUAAUUAGAGGAAGAUUAGAUUAGUUACGAGUUACGAGAGUAAUAGAUCUAACGUACGUGGUUGUGUCCGCGCGGUUAAGUGUCAAGUGUCUCCUUACGUGUACUUACUAGGAAGGUCUUUAUACAUAUGCUUACGUUUAUACAUGCGUACCUGUGUAUGUACAGAAUAUAUAUAUAUCGUUCAAGAUACACGCGUCUUCGACUAGGUAAGACGAGUGAACUCGUCCCCGAGAAGGAUUGGCUGCAGAGGGAAGUUCGUACUUUUGUUAAAAUAUCGUUUUCGUUAAGGCUUCUCUGGAAAUCUCGUUUUCGACUCGAAGUUCAACAUUUUUAGGAGGGUUGGAUCAGUUUAUCGAGAUAGAGAGGAUGUUAGGGUGUAUAUUUAGGGUCAUUAAAACACUAAAGGGACUCAAACGCUGGUAGUGGAGAAAUGAGUCAACCAAAUAGCGCUUGUCCGCAAGGUUGAUGCGCAGGAGACUAUUUGGUACACGACUGCUACACGAUACAAAUCGUAAGACGUGUGCACUUUUGUCAAGUGCGAAACCUUCUUUGCACACGUACUUCCACAACUACUUGACUAAAUAACACGUUUGUCAACAUAAUAAAAAAAUAGAACUACCGAAUUUCUGCCACGUUUUUGCAUCUGUGAUUCACAUCGUGCAGCAAUUGAGGGCAAACUGGUGUCCGACCCAUGUAUUCGAAAUUAGGUGUCGCUGGCUCCACGCUGAUGGGAUGGGAAAAAAGCUUUUUAAUUAUUUGGAGAAUUGGGGAACAGGUUCGUUUCGAACGUUAAUAAUGCCGCGAAGUUGGGACGAACGUGGAAUGGUCUCGGUGGCUGGUCAGUUAGAGCACUUUAAUUGUCCGUGGGGCUUCCUAGCGAAUGGGCGCAAUUCCUGGUAACGAACUCUGAUCGCAACCAGUGAUGCCACUUCUGCGAAUAUUUGCAUUUGCUUCGAAUCGUUUUCCCUUCGUCGACCGAUUUAAUUGGGAAUCAACAGCUUGUCCAACUGAGUUCCAAUCGAAAGACACUAUGAAGGCAGUCUGACAAUUUCAGAUUUAAAAAAAAAAAACGGUUUUUAGGGAUAUUUUCAUAAAAAUUUUAGGAUUUAAGGAAUUGUUCUGAAAAGAUUGGAGAAAUUCGAAGAAUUGGGAAUGAUACAGGAUUUCAAAUUGAAAUUUCUUUGUCAGUGUUGGGUAAGCACUAAGUGGACCAACCUUUAGAGAGGGAUGUUCCUACUAAUUUUCUUUUUUGACACAGCUAUUUCUUUUUAUUAAAAGAAAUUAUCGACCUCAAGGUACCAGACUGCCAUCUUUAUAAGUAACAACCUCAAAAUACAAUUAGAGGACUCGUUUCCAGCUGUAUUAACUUUCGAGUCACCCCAGUUAAAAGUCAAUUGCCAAUUGAACGAAUCUAAUUGUCUCAAAUUUAUAAAAAAAAAAUGACGAUCGCACACGAAUUAUUAUUUGUUUUUAAUAAAAAUACAUUGGAAUCGAUUCGAUAAUUGUCCCUGGAUGUAGCUGGAGAAGCUCAAGUCGUGAAACGAAAUUUCCAGACAGGUUUCCGAGCUUUUUAAGCCCGCCUUCUCUCUCCGUCUUUCUCAUACCGCGAAAAUUACAAUCUACGCGUACCAAUAUAUUUGGCGUGUGUAUAAGAAUGUGUUAGUAGUACGUGUACGCUAUGAGUAUUUCCGGAAGUUCAAUUAUAUCGACUGUACACGCGAGACUAGUAUAAUAAAGCAGCCUUAUCGUGCACCUGGAUGCGGCGUUCCAUUUGUUUUCUCCUGCUGAUCGCGGAAAACGGAAAUUGCACGUGUUUUCGUUAAUAUUCUUCGAUGUGAUAACCGAUCGUUGUAGUCGGUCGUUGUAUCAGCACAAUAAUAACCUCCGCUAAUAAAUGCAGUAACGAAAUUUAUAUUACCUUACCAUCAGUGAUAAUAAUAAUAAUAACGUGAAUAAUAAUAAUAAGAUGAAGAUAAUUAGAUUGUGGAUAUUAUGCAUUUAUAGUGUACGUUAACACUGUAACCCAAAUUACGGCUUACGAAAAAAUGAUAUAAUAGAGCCCAUUCAGAAAUUCUAAUUAUGGAAUUAUUAUCAUACGCAAAUUUAACCUCUUGAAGGACGAAUUUUAAACGGACCUUUUUUCGUCUUAGUGGAAUACGAAGUUUUUCAAAGAAUAAUUUGUAGAAAUUCAAAUUUCUAGUGAUUUGUCCAAUUGUUUAUGAGUGCGUGACUUCACAAUCACGUGCGGAUACAGAUGAUUAAUACAGAGAAACUAUGCAAACCACGCGUAGAAUAUAUAAUACACAAGUCAAUAUAAUAAUAUUAAUAUUUCACACAUUUUGCACAUGUGUAUAUAUUCUACUCAAGUUUAGCCUACGUUUCUCGUACCUUUAUACUCUAUAAAUGAACAAGAUCCACAGACCUAUUAACGAUGGUGUCGCGAGGCACCAAGGUGAACCGAUAUAAGGAUAAAUAAAGUACACAACGUGUUAAUAAUAAUAAUAAUAAUAAUAAAUAUAAUAAAUACCGAUGACAGUAAUAAAUUACGAUGAUGCUGCAACCAUUAUUAAUGAUAAUAAUAAUAAUACUGACAACAAUUCGCAAAUAAAGGAAAUUAAAUACUGUACAAGGUUGUAAAAUUUUAAGAACAAUGAAUCCGUAGCUAAGAACCGAGACAGAGCGGUCGGUGGUAGUGGUGUUCUCAAAAACGAAGUGAACGAACCGGUAGGGGGUGGCGUAGUCGAUCGAUCCGCAGACGAAAAGCAUCCAGGGGUCGCUUCGAUUCGCCACCCACCCUCGAUUCGUGAUCAUAGGCCGUUUACCAGUGUUGAAGCAUGCUUACGAUUACCCAGCUAUCGAUAAUCGUGAUUAAUCGAUAAUCAUGAUCGCCCAAUCGACAAAUAAUGGAAAACGAUUCACUCUGAAAUAGUACAAUUCACCACUGUAUGAUUUUCAUGAUAAAAAUGUAUUAAUUUACGCCAUCCAAAGUCCAUACCGAUCAAUCGGACAAUCGUGACUGAUUAAUGCAAAAGUAAUCGCUGCCCAACACUGCCGUAUAGUAAAUUAACAGACACGCGUCAAACGGUGCACUUCGUUUGUUUGUUUCUACGUUGUUUUACCUUCUUGUUCGUUAUUUUUAUUUUUCGUUCUACUCCCCUAUCAACGUUUCUUGUUCUCUUUCGCACGCACACUCUCUCUCUUUCUCUUUCUACCCAUGCCGACUAACUAAUUUAUUCGUUAAUCAAUUAAUGAAUUAAUUAAUAUUGCUUAGGGUUUUAUUGCUCUACGUACGUACGCGACAGUGCUAUCGCACACAACGCGAAGAAAACUCGUGAAACAAACGUCACCAAUGACAGGACCGGGAUAAGCCGUUUUGGGAUCGUUUCGCUCACCGCGGUCCAAUCGCGCGGGACUUGCGCAAGGAUCCUGCGCGCGUUCGGUUAUUUUUUUCUCGUUUUCUUGCACACUUCUUCUCCUUUCUUUUUUUUUUUUUGUUCUUUUCUUUAUAUAUAUGUCUGUUAUUUUGGCGGUGAGGUCGGCUACUCUGUACAUGCAACACGGUAAUUAUUUGUCGGCAAUAAUUAUUAUAAAAGGACUUGUCGGAUCGUCGCGUCCAGCUCUCCGCAAAAUGACGACCAAUCCGUGCUCUUUCUCUGGCCUUGUUCUCGAUUCGCGACUCGUUGCAGCCACUUUUUUUUUCUUUCUUUCUUUUAUUAGCCUAAUACAGCGUUUCCCAAACUCUUAUAAUCGUGGUAAUUUUUUAUUUGAACAAUAUAUUUAUGGUAUGGUUACCUGCUGUUGUGGUUUGUUGGGGUUCGACCGAGAUUUGAUUCUUGUGACAACAUUGGGGGGCUGCACUUUACUUGUUUGCACUUUCGUGUUUUUUUUCUUUGUGUUUAUUUUGUAAACAGCUUGUAUGCAUAGGUUGCAAAAUGGAGUAAAUAAAAUAAAAACUUGCAAAUAGGUUUGAAAAACGCUGCUCUAAUGCAUGAUUUCCAAAUAUUCGUAAUAACCUAAUCGUUGCUUUUUGAAUUGGUCGAACAGAGGUCGUGUUCUUGAGCGGGAUUUUGGUGUCUCUUACACGUCGUUGUCUGGAAAUAUAUUUUCGUUGGUUAUCGUGCCCUUCGACGGACCAAUUUUGUACUAACAUUAUGGCACAAUCACGAAGAUCGAAUUUUAACCCACUCGGUGCUGUAGACGUUUAUAAUGUUUCCAGUGUUUCGAAAAACCAUCCUAAAUUCGUAGUAGAUGAAAUGUAUUAGAUAGCUCCAACCGAGUAUUCAGAAUAUUUUAUUUUCUAUUCGAACAUGGACUAGAAAAUCAUUGGUGUCUCAGCGAACGUCUUAACACCGAAAGAGUUAAACACGACUCAGUUUCACUAAAAAAUUCACAACCAAAAAUGUGGCGUGUUCUACUUGGUUCCAAAGUCUUAUUCGUUAGAAAAAAUAUAUUUGAAAAUAGGAGCGCCACUGGGUUACUACAGAGCGAGUAAUAUGCUUAUGCGAUUAAAUUUUGCACUAUUUGAUACGAAUUCUGAACUUCUUCGCUAUAACAUAUAACCACAUUCACUUAAAGCAUUUUCAAGUAUUGUCUAACUAAGAUUCGUUGUAUAAUUCUCCAAAGAUUAGGCAAACGAGUAUUGUAAACGUUGAAGCGACAAGAAAGAUUAAUUUAUCUCUUGGUUGAGCUCCGACUAGAAUCAUCGCGAAGCAUCAUCAAUUAACACAUACUUAUGGCUUCCUUUUGCUUCUAAAUCUUCACUUUUAAUAUUCUAUAUCAACAUCCACAAUUUACAUUCUAUGCAAGUAAACGUAAACGUUAAACGAUCGGCUCUAAACGUUUAUAAAGAAGUGAAAGUCAACGAAGUCGACGAAACGCUGCUAGCGCCAUUUUGGAGCACGGAUCACGACAAAAUGGAAGAGCGUGGUGGCGUGACGAUCGAGAAAGUUCGAUGCCGAAGCGAAUCAUCGUUAUCCAUCACGUUAAACUUCGAUGUUCGCCUCUAAAUGUAUACUUAUAUAAUUCGUUGUGUCGAAAUAUUGCUUUUGACCGUACGGCGUCGUCAUUAUUACUUUUUUUUUUAUGUUAAUUAUUCCCUUACUCGUUAUAUUGCUUCUAUAAAAUAUGUGUAUAACAAUGUUACGCAUUCAUUAAUCGAAUCUGCUCUAAAUAUACGUGUACGCGCGCGUGUAUGUGUGUAUGACUGUUCGUCCUACGUGUCGGUUUCUGUUCGUGUGUGGGUGGUACGUGUACGCGUCUUGAAUUUUCCUUUUUGCAUUGGAGCUCUCAUGCGACCAACCGUGUAACGCCACUGGAGAAGAAAAAAGAAAAUAAAUGGAGGAAAAGGAAAAUUCUUGUUGAUGAGCUAUAUGGGUAUGAGUCAGGGAUGACCCAUGAAACAGAAAGAUGAUAUUUUCUGUUUGAAAUAUUGUCUUGGUGAAAAUUAUGAAGCUUUGGUAAAUAUUCGUAAUGGGUACAAUGUGGAUUACAAUGUGAAUUUUACUGAGAAGAGGGUGGCCAGAGGAGCCAUCUUGAUUUCAUAUGGCUUCUUGACUUAGAUUUUUCUCAAGGAAAAUUUAAUUUAAGGUGUCAUGAUUAUCAAUCAACAUAAAAUCAUCUAAAGAGUGAUUUAUAUAUCAACAGAGCUUCCCAAUAAUUUUCAGUAAAAAUAAGAAAAACAAUACCCAAUAAAAAUGAGUACCUCUUUAUAAGAAACUCCCCACUUGCACCACCAUCCACGAUCCCCACUCCUUUCAGACUGAUAUCUUGAAUUUCACAGACCCUCAUUUAGAAUGGCAAGAUUCAGACCACACCUUUCAUAACUCCUACCUUCACCUGGCUAUCAACUUAGAGGUCAACGCCUCCAGAACUCUCGCUCACCCAUCAUACUUUCCUAAAUGAUAAAACUCUCAAAAACCAGAAGACCAAGAUGGCGUUACACGCGUAAGCAGCAUGCAGUCUCACCAAAAGGACGCACAGACCUGGACCGAGGGCUCCGAUCGAUGGGGACGUCGAUCGUCCGCGAAUCGACCCCUGGUCGAGUAUAAUUUGGCUCGACUUGGAGCCAUCGAAGAGGAACAUGCAAGGGGGUCGUCGUGUCUCCUUCAAGAGACAGCUGUUCGAAGGCGUUUGGGAAGAGGGACGAAGCCCACUGGUCAGGAUUGCGCGUCCCAGCCUGGAAGAUCGAUCUCUGGACGGGAUUCGAUUCCCCCAAGUAAACUUUAGGCGGACUGUAAUCCACGAUUACGAUGCAAGUGAUCAGUGAUCGGGAUUAACGAUCGAUAAUGGGUAACCAUGAGUAAUUAAUGAAUACUCAGACAGGAUCGCUUCUGAAGAGGUGUAUCGAUCGCUGAUCGAACCGAUGACCGUGUGUGACGAUUACAAAAGUAAUCGUUGUCCUUGGAUGAGACAGAAUCGAAAACCGACUGGAGAUCACGUCCCCUAGCACGUCGUUAUUGUACCUCGAGUCCGUCAUCGCGGUGAAUAUCCCCCAUUGCUCUCUUUCAUCCAUGGAGAGUUAAUAUUAGUUUACUUCUUUCGUUUAGGCAGCUAAGUAUUAAUAAAUAGUGUCUCCGUAACUAGCUCGCGACUAGAACCGUACGCGCUAGUAAAUAUACUAUAUAUAUAUAAUAAUAAUAUAAUAUAUAUAAUAUAAUAAUAUAAUAUCAUAAUGUAAUAGGUAUAAUCGACUAGAGUGACUAGACUGCAGUGUGGACGUCACCGUUCGACGUGUUCCUUAUUUUUUUUUUUGUUCUCGUUACACUCUCGUUUUGCGUAUUUUGUUCAUCAUCUUCGUCGUCAAUUUUUUUUUUAAUCUUUUGUAAGACUUAAACAUUACUGGACGUUUUUAUUAAUGUUAGACAUUAUUUAAGAAACCGAUACCUCCUCCUCUCUCUCUCUCUCUCUCUCUCUCUCUCUCUCUCUCUCUCUCUUCUCAUCGUCGUUCCUCGUCUACCAUUUGUCUUAUCUUACCGGUUAA